rnacentral:rRNA from 1 species
UGGGGAAUUUUGGACAAUGGGCGCAAGCCUGAUCCAGCCAUGCCGCGUGCAGGAUGAAGGCCUUCGGGUUGUAAACUGCUUUUGUACGGAACGAAAAGACUCCUUCUAAUAAAGGGGGUCCAUGACGGUACCGUAAGAAUAAGCACCGGCUAACUACGUGCCAGCAGCCGCGGUAAUACGUAGGGUGCGAGCGUUAAUCGGAAUUACUGGGCGUAAAGCGUGCGCAGGCGGUUAUAUAAGACAGGUGUGAAAUCCCCGGGCUCAACCUGGGACCUGCAUUUGUGACUGUAUAGCUAGGGUACGGUAGAGGGGGAUGGAAUUCCGCGUGUAGCAGUGAAAUGCGUAGAUAUGCGGAGGAACACCGAUGGCGAAGGCAAUCCCCUGGACCUGUACUGACGCUCAUGCACGAAAGCGUGGGGAGCAAACA